rnacentral:rRNA from 1 species
GACGAACGCUGGCGGCGUGCCUAAUACAUGCAAGUAGAACGCUGAAGCUUGGUGCUUGCACCGAGCGGAUGAGUUGCGAACGGGUGAGUAACGCGUAGGUGACCUGCCUGGUAGCGGGGGAUAACUAUUGGAAACGAUAGCUAAUACCGCAUAAGAGUAGAUGUUGCAUGACAUUUGCUUAAAAGGUGCAAUUGCAUCACUACCAGAUGGACCUGCGUUGUAUUAGCUAGUUGGUGAGGUAACGGCUCACCAAGGCAACGAUACAUAGCCGACCUGAGAGGGUGAUCGGCCACACUGGGACUGAGACACGGCCCAGACUCCUACGGGAGGCAGCAGUAGGGAAUCUUCGGCAAUGGACGGAAGUCUGACCGAGCAACGCCGCGGGAGCGAAGAAGGUUUUCGGAUCGUAAAGCUCUGUUGUAAGAGAAGAACGAGUGUGAGAGUGGAAAGUUCACACUGUGACGGUAUCUUACCAGAAAGGGACGGCUAACUACGUG